rnacentral:tRNA from 1 species
AUUUAAAUAGUGUAAUUCAACACUUAACUUUUUCAUUGUUAAAAUCCUCCUGGUUUAAAUU